rnacentral:rRNA from 1 species
CCUACGGGAGGCAGCAGUGGGGAAUAUUGCACAAUGGGCGCAAGCCUGAUGCAGCGACGCCGCGUGAGGGAUGACGGCCUUCGGGUUGUAAACCUCUUUCAGUAGGGAAGAAGCGUAAGUGACGGUACCUGCAGAAGAAGCGCCGGCUAACUACGUGCCAGCAGCCGCGGUAAUACGUAGGGCGCAAGCGUUAUCCGGAAUUAUUGGGCGUAAAGAGCUCGUAGGCGGUUUGUCGCGUCUGCUGUGAAAGACCGGGGCUCAACUCCGGUUCUGCAGUGGGUACGGGCAGACUAGAGUGCAGUAGGGGAGACUGGAAUUCCUGGUGUAGCGGUGAAAUGCGCAGAUAUCAGGAGGAACACCGAUGGCGAAGGCAGGUCUCUGGGCUGUAACUGACGCUGAGGAGCGAAAGCAUGGGGAGCGAACAGGAUUAGAUACCCUGGUAGUCCAUGCCGUAAACGUUGGGCACUAGGUGUGGGGGACAUUCCACGUUUUCCGCGCCGUAGCUAACGCAUUAAGUGCCCCGCCUGGGGAGGUACGGCCGCGAGACGUAAACGUUAAACGGUAAGUUAGACGGCGUGAGACGUGCCGACGGACGACGACGAGGGAGGUUAGG